rnacentral:rRNA from 1 species
UACGUAGGGUGCAAGCGUUACUCGGAAUUACUGGGCGUAAAGCGUGCGCAGGCGGUUGUGCAAGACCGAUGUGAAAUCCCCGGGCUCAACCUGGGAAUUGCAUUUGUGACUGCACGGCUAGAGUGUGUCAGAGGGGGGUAGAAUUCCACGUGUAGCAGUGAAAUGCGUAGAGAUGUGGAGGAAUACCGAUGGCGAAGGCAGCCCCCUGGGAUAACACUGACGCUCAUGCACGAAAGCGUGGGGAGCAAACAGG